rnacentral:piRNA from 1 species
UGAAGUGUGGCGCCAAGAUUGAUAGG